AUUGAACGCUGGCGGCAUGCCUAACACAUGCAAGUCGAACGAGUGGCGGACGGGUGAGUAAUGUAUGGGAAACUGCCCGAUGGAGGGGGAUAACUACUCGAAACGGUAGCUAAUACCGCAUACCAUCGGAUGUGCCCAGAUGGGAUUAGCUAGUAGGGGGGGUAAAGGCUCACCUAGUCGACGAUCCCUAGCUGGUUUGAGAGGACGACCAGGCACCCUGGGACUGAGACACGGCCCAGACUCCUACGGGAGGCAGCAGUGGGGAAUAUUGGACAAUGGGGGAAAGCCUGAUGCAGCCAUGCCGCGUGUAUGAUGAAGGCCUUCGGGUUGUAAAGUACUUUCGGCAGGGAGGCGUUACCCGCAGAAGAAGCACCGGCUAACUCCGUGCCAGCAGCCGCGGUAAUUC
rnacentral:rRNA from 1 species